AGUCCUCAACACUGCGGUGCUUCCGCGCCGUCCGCACCCGGCUGGCGACUGCUCGCGACGUUUGUCAGCC
rnacentral:sRNA from 1 species